GUUCGCGUAAAGAUUCUCUUUUCACCAUGUGUCAUAUGACAUUGUACAAUAGUUGGUUCUGUUGGUGCAAGUGUCCAUCGUUGUAUGAUAACCUAUGUGGUUUUGUCUGGGAUGGAAUUACCCAUUUUCACUGGAUGCCUUGUUCAGUAGCCUCUGGGUUCUUUUUCUAAAUUUGCAC
rfam:Triticum aestivum genome assembly, contig: Triticum_aestivum_CS42_TGACv1_scaffold_407144_5BL